AGUGUUGGAGGGGCUGAGACCCUGACAGGUGGGCACCUGGGUUCUGAAGAGGCCAUGGCAGCGACGACCCCUGGCCGCAAGGCUUGAACCCGGGAGCAGCACGGGCUGGGGUAGAAGACGCAGGCCAAGCCCCAGUACUCAGGGAGGAGCAUGGCAGACCAGGGCAGCUCCCAGGGAGGCCAAAGUAACCCUCAGACCCUGAAAACAGACCAGCCACGUCUCCCAGGCGGACGCAGUGGGUUCUCCACGAGCGUGACUUGGGGAUUUAGGGCACUGAGACUGUGCUACCCACCCCCCUUAAAAAUCCCUCGUGGCUCCCAGUUGCCCUGAAGGGGAAUCCCAAACUCUUCAGAGGCAGCACAUGCUGGUGGGUGAGAGUUGGGAGCCUGAGUCCAAGUUCCAGCCUGGCCCCUAUUGGCUGUGUGACCACCGGCAACUCACCUAACCUCUCUGGGCCUCACGGGCUCAUUGGAGGAUGUGGUGAGAGAAUGACUGAGAUGAGCUUAGCACAGUGCUGGCCACACCGUCACUGUUCAAUGCCAGGUGGCUGUGCUUACCACCACUGCUGGCUGUAACUGGCGGAGCAUGGCACAGAAGGUCCUGGCCACCUGAACCGCAGUCGGCCUCUCCUUUCUCAUCGGCUCCAGCGCCACCCGCCGAUGCUGCCCCAACACCAAGCUGCUCUCUGUUCCCUCAACACUCCCUGGUCUUUCUGUGUCACUGGGGCUUUGCUCCUGCUGUGCCCCCGCCAGGAAUGCCCUUUCCCCUCCAGGCUACUUCCAGACUCUGUCGGUUGUCAGUUGUCGAGUGCCCUGGGAACCCCCUCACCCACAAGGAGUGACUCAGUGCCCUGCGUGCACCCAGAGCUUGGUGUGUGGCAUUGGGUCUGUCUCCCGUCUGAUUCUGCGACUUCUCAGGCGCGCAUGUCAUGGCCUAUUCAUUUUCUUGUCCUCGGUGCCCAGCGCCGCGCCUGUCACACGGUGGGUGCUCCGUAGAGUGGGCUGAAGGAUGGAAGCAAUCAAUCCCCAACACGGUGGGCGUGCUCAGCUCAGGGACGGCAGAUUGCUCUCCACUCCGGCUCUGUGUUCUCCUUCCUUAGCCUCAAGGAGAAACGGAACGCCGCAGCACUUCUCUGAGGAUGCCGGCGGGAGACGCUUCGCUUCGAUGAAAUGCUCGGCCUCCGAGUUGGCGCUUUGCGUGAGGGAUGGGGACAUGGAGGCCCCACGAAGGAUCAGCAAGGCCCCAGUGACCCCUUCCUCUCCUCACCCCUCCCCUGCCUCUUAUUCCUGCCCUGAGCAGGCAUUGAGCUCCUGGGGUUGGGCGAGGAAGGGAGAGCAAAGGGCAGAGGGUGGGUGGACAGCAGGUGCCCAGUCCUACAGGCGCUGCUGGGGUCAGGAUGCCACUCUCACCACCCUGGGAGUUGUCUUCAGCACAGGGGCAGCUGUGGUGGGGGUAGUGUGCUCCAUGACCAGCCCUGGCCAGGCCCUUGUCCCCACUGCUCUCCCUGGCUGCCAGACCUCUCACUGUGAGGCAGCCAGGUCUCCCCGUCCUGGCAGAGGGAAGGCUGUUGCUCCCAUCUGGCUCUGCUCCUGGCCAUCUGCCCUCUGACCGCACCUGCCCCAGGCUGAGGUCCCCUGCAGGAUGCUCGAGUUAAACAGAGUCCGAGGGAGUAGUGAGUCCAGCCCUCCCAUUUGGCAGAUGACAAAACUGAGGCCCAAGGAGGCAAAGAGACUUGUCAGAGGUCACACCAGGAACCCAGCAUUCUGUCUAUGGCUUGAUGUCCUUCCAGAACAGGAGAAGACCUUGGCUUUGACCUUGAAGAAAUAGCAAAACUUGGACCUUGAAGACAGGCGAUUGCUAUGACUAAUUUGUGGCCAGGUGGUGUGACCUUGGGUAUGUUACCUAACCUCGCUGAGCCGCGUGGUGCUGGUGAGGAUUCGGUGAGAUGACAACUGGUCAGGUCCUGGCAGGACUCCUGGCACGUCCCUGACUCUCAAUCAACAGGAGCUUUUGAUAUGGUUAGGAAGCAGCAACUAAGGACCCAGUUCCGGAGAAAGUGCUUGCCUGUGGUUGUGAGAUGGGGAAACUGAGGCCUGGAAACAGAGAACGGUGGGACCAAGGUCACAUGAUGGCGGAAGGAGGACAAGGAAGGAGGCUGACUGCGUAUCCAGCACGUGUUCCGUGCCAAGCCUGUGCAGGGGCCAAGGACCGGGGUCUCUGGACAGCGCCGGUUGCUGGGUCCCACGCUGGGCGACAGGGCCUUUGCAAUCAGGCCGACAGGGUUUGAACCCUUGCCACAGCACUUUCCAGAUGGCCUUGGCCACUGUCCCCUCUCUGACCUUCAGAUGGAGCCCAUGGCACCUCCGGAGGGGGUGUGUGCUUCAAGGACCAAAUCCACUUGUGCGUGGUUAGGGACGAGGUGGGGGGAGGCAGCUCAGCCACCGGGACCUGUCCUGCCUCCACCCUCUGUGCAACCCCUUUCCUUGCCUUUUGUCUCUGUUGCUUUUGGGGGGUGAUUAGCCGCUAGCUCAGCGGCUAGAGGAUUCUGUCCCGGAAAAGGCUCCGGAGUUGAGGCCCAGACCCCCAGGGCAAGACGGAAUCUGCUCCCCAGGGCACUAACUGAGACUCGGUUCCCUCACUGGUAAAAUGAGAAAACUCACUUAUGGUCAGGGGUCCCCGAGUUAAUGCCAGUGAAUUCCUUGGCAGAGCAUCAAGCACUUGGAGAAGCCCCCACCCCCGGUCAUUGUGAUGAUGGUUUGUUUGUUUGUUUGUUUGUUUGUUUUGAGACGGAGUCUCGCUCUGUCGCCCAGGCUGGAGUGCAGUGGCGCGAUCUCGGCUCACUGCAAGCUCCGCCUCCCGGGUUCACGCCAUUCAGGUGAUGAUGUUUUUUAUUUAUGUGCCCACCUGCCCCACUCCGUAGAUUCCAGGCCCCUCGAGGCCAGGACUGCACCGUUCAUCUCGGAAUUCGCUUGUUCCUGACUUAGGGGAGUCGCGCUGAGACACCGUGUAGCGCCCAUGCCAGGGAGGAAGCGAGACAGCAGGAGCGGAGGAAAGAACCCCGGGCUGUGUUGAGGAAGCCUCCUACUUUUGCCUGAAGUGAGGUUGUUGUCAUUGUUUUUUCCACGUGCCAUAUUCAUCCACGUAACCUCAGCCUCUAGUGCAGCGUCCUAUUUUUUGGCUUGUAUUAUUAUUUUUAAUUGACACAUAAUAAUUGUACAUAUUUA